rnacentral:lncRNA from 1 species
AUUUCCGCUCGCAAUUUGCCGCCCAGCAGGGCAUUCUGGGAUUACGGGGUCCCCCAAACUGUCAUGGCGUCCUAGGAAGAUGGCGACUGCCAUACAACAGGCUUUCCUGGAGUAUCUAAUAAUUUAAAUUCAAGGCAUUGGCGACAUAGCUAGUGACAGAGGGCCAAGAGAACGGUGGACUGACUGCCAGGGGCCAGCGAUUUUUAGGCCAUCAAUCACCCCCACAGAGCUGAUAAAAUGGAGUGUGCAGUUGACACACAGCCAGGCGGGGACGAGGCUGCAGAGCAAGAACACACUCUGGAGGAAACAUCUGCAAAGGAAGGAAGUGAGACGCCGCAGAAGAAGAACAAGAAGCACAAAAAACACAAGAGCAAGAAGAAGAAGAAGAAACGUGGCAAGGGAGAGCGAGAGACGAGCUCAGAGUCGGCCCCAGAGUCCGACGUAGAAAAGCCGCCAGUCAGAACCAGGGCAGGGUGAGGCUCCUCCCAUUAGAACCAGAACUUGGUUUGACUCAUCCCAUGAGAACCAUAACUCUGCUAGAUUCUGCCCAUUACAACCAGACCAGUGCUGCGUUCAGUUUGCGUGAACAUUUGCUACUUUGCGGAAAGGCUUGUACUGAACGACACAUUUCCCCAAAAACUUGUAUGUUCUUGAACAGGCUCUGUGAUACGUUUGCUCCAUUUGGUGGGUGUGCCGGGGUGUGGCUUGGAGCAAUGAUUUAUGUAUUUAAAGGGAAAGGUGAAUUUUGAAGCUACAACCCAGCCCAUCCCUGUUUUUUAACUGACUUCAGUACAGCAUCGUUUCUGUUCAAUUAAACGUUCUAUUACGUUUUUAUGUACUGAAUGCAGGCAAGUGCUAGGCAGAACAGGGUGUUGCCUGGUCACCUCUAGAUGGUUUCCACACUGGAAUUUAGGAGGUAAAGCAGCAGAAAUGUAAAUCCAACAGGCUCUUGUUUGUUUGGCUCUAAACCAUUGGGACAAUUAUGAUUAUAGUAUUCAUUAUAUUUGCGGCUAUAAUCAAUAUAUUUUCUGUUUUUAGCUUGAGGAGUGCUGGCCCAGUGGCCUCCGAUACAGGAGUAGACACGAAAGAGGAGGCAACAAAGGACUUGAUCACAGCUAUACCUGAGGUAGAAGGUGACGCUAAAGCCAGAAAACACAAAAGACAUGCUGGGAAAAAGAAGAGAAAAAGGAGGAGAAAAGGGGAAGAAAAGCAGGAGAAGAACUCUUCUUCACACUCCCUAUCAGAGAGCGAAUCUAUGUCAGGAACAGAUUCUGAGUCUGAGGGGAAGCCAGCUGGCAUGGUAGUGCAGGCUGUUCCCAUGCAGUCUAAGGCCAGGCAAGAGGAGCGAGUUCCCUCCCUAUGCAUCACUUUGGCCCAAAAAGAGGAAUCUCUGAAAGUGAUGUGUCAACCCUCAGAUAAUGAGUCUGCGGAUGCAGGAGGAAAGACUGAAGAGAAGGUUUCCCCUGCUAACAGGGAGAACCAAACCAUCUCUGUCACAAAACCGGAAGAUCCACGGAGCGACAGGAGCUUCAGCCACACCCAGGAGCUUCCUGACAUCAUCCCCAAGCAGGAUGGCCAGAAGGAGGAAACCAAACCAGAGCAGAGGUCAAAGGUGAAGAACCAGGCUCCCUCCAGGUCAAGGUCAGGGUCGCUGACAGACACUAAGAUGGCUAGAUCAAGUCUUAGUCGUUCGCCAAGCCCUAAGCGGUCCAGAUCAAGUCGCAGUCGUUCACGAAGCCCCGCGGGAUUGUCUAGUCAGCCUGUGUCUGGCAGGGGCAGGUCUCGAUCUGGCUCAAAAAGCAUGACUCCCAAGAGGAAGCAGUCCAAGUCCCCCAAAAGGACAAGACGCAAGUCCCCAUCUCUGUCCCCCAGGACAAGACGCAAGUCCCCAUCUCUGUCCCCCAGGACAAGACGCAAGUCCCCAUCUCUGUCCCCCAUGACAGGACGCAAGUCCCCAUCUCUUCCCCCAGGAGAGACGCAAGUCCCCAUCUCUGUCCCCCAGGAGAGGACGCAAGUCCCCAUCUCGGUCCCCCAGGAGAGGACGCAAGUCCCAUCUCUGUCCCCCAGGAGAGACGCAAGUCCCCACCUGUCCCCAGGAGAGGACGCAAGUCCCCACUCGGUCCCCCAGGAGGAAGGAACGCAAGUCCCACUCUGUCCCCCAGGAAAGGACGCAUGUCUCCAAAGAGGGGACGCAAGUCCCCUUCUGUCCCCUAAGAGACGACGUAUGUCCCCUCUGUCACCCUGGAGAGGACGCAAGUCUCCUUCUCUGUCCCCUAGACGAGGGCGCAAGUUGUCUCCUCUGUCCCCUAGACGAGGCCAAGUUGUCUCCUCUGUCCCUAGACGGGGGCGCAAGUUGUCCUCCUCUGUCCCCUAAACGAGGGCGCAAGUUGUCUCCUCUGUCCCUAGACGAGGGCGCAAGUUGUCUCUCUGUCCCCUAACGAGGCGCAAGUUGUCUCCUCUGUCCCCUAGACGAGGGCGUAAUGUCUCCUCUGUCCCCUAGACGAGGGCGCAAGUUGUCUCCUCUGUCCCCUAGACGAGGGCGCAAGUUUGUCUCCUCUGUCCCCUAGACGAGGGCGCAAGUUGUCCCCUUCUCUGUCCCCUAGACGAGGGCGCAAGUUGUCCCCUUCUCUGUCCCCUAGGAGAGGGCGCAAGUUGUCCCCUUCUCUGUCCCCUAGGAGAGGGCGAAAGUCCUCUCCUUUGUCCCCUAGAAGAGGACGCAAGUCUCUGUCUAAAUCCCCUAGGAGAGGACGCAAACUGUCUCCAUCUCCCAGACGAGGGCGGCGGUCUGAGUCCAGGUCACAUGGCUGUGUCAGAAGGUCUAGGACCAGAACCCCCCCCCCUCGUCGAGGUAGACGUCCGUGGUCCCGCUCACCUGUGAGGCAGACUCGCCGUUCACGCUCCAGAUCUAGAC